GUGCUCACUUGGGCAGCACAUAGCCUAAAAUUGGAAUGAUACAGAGAAGAUCAGCAUUGGUCCUGCGCAAGGAUGACAUGCAUAGUUGUGAAGCAUUCUUCUUCUUC